rnacentral:lncRNA from 1 species
CUUGUGAGGAAGGCAUCUUGCUUCCCCUUUGCCUCCUGACAUGAUUGUGAAUUUCCUGAGGCCUCUCCAGCCAUGAUGAACUCACCCACCUCAACUACCAGCAUCAGAAAACAAGUUCUGACCGGGUGCAGUGGCUCACACCUGUAAGAGUGGCUCACACUUUGGGAGGCCAAGAUUCUCUGCAAAACUUCUGGACAACUGACAUCUCCCUAAAUGUGAUAUUCUCAUACACCCCCAUCUUCUGAUGUUUAAAUUGUAACCUAUGACAAUACUUCUAGAUGUCAAAACAAUAGUGAUUAAACAUUCAACGGUUACCUUCUAAA